AUUGAACGCUGGCGGCAUGCCUUACACAUGCAAGUCGGACGGCAGCACGGGUGCUUGCACCUGGUGGCGAGUGGCGAACGGGUGAGUAAUAUAUCGGAACGUACCUUAUCGUGGGGGAUAACGCAGCGAAAGCUGCGCUAAUACCGCAUACGCCCUGAGGGGGAAAGCGGGGGACCGUAAGGCCUCGCGCGAUUAGAGCGGCCGAUAUCUGAUUAGCUAGUAGGUGAGGUAAAGGCUCACCUAGGCGACGAUCCGUAGCGGGUCUGAGAGGAUGAUCCGCCACACUGGGACUGAGACACGGCCCAGACUCCUACGGGAGGCAGCAGUGGGGAAUUUUGGACAAUGGGGGCAACCCUGAUCCAGCCAUGCCGCGUGAGUGAAGAAAGGGCCCUUCGGGUUGGUUAAA
rnacentral:rRNA from 1 species